GAUGAAGAACGCAGCAAAAUGCGAUAAGUAUGUGAAUUGCAGAAUUCAGUGAAUCAUCGAAUCUUUGAACGCACAUUGCGCCCGCUGGUAUUCCGGCGGGCAUGCCUGUUCGAGCGUCAUUUCAACCCUCAAGCCCCCGGGUUUGGUGUUGGGGAUCGGCUCUGCCCUUCUGGGCGGUGCCGCCCCCGAAAUACAUUGGCGGUCUCGCUGCAGCCUCCAUUGCGUAGUAGCUAACACCUCGCAACUGGAACGCGGCGCGGCCAUGCCGUAAAACCCCAACUUCUGAAUGUUGACCUCGGAUCAGGUAGGAAUACCCGCUGAACUUAAGCAUAUCAAUAAGCGGAGGA
rnacentral:misc_RNA from 1 species